rnacentral:rRNA from 1 species
GACGAACGCUGGCGGCGUGCCUAAUACAUGCAAGUUGAGCGCUGAAGGUUGGUACUUGUACCAACUGGAUGAGCAGCGAACGGGUGAGUAACGCGUGGGGAAUCUGCCUUUGAGCGGGGGACAACAUUUGGAAACGAAUGCUAAUACCGCAUAAAAACUUUAAACACAAGUUUUAAGUUUGAAAGAUGCAAUUGCCUCACUCAAAGAUGAUCCCGCGUUGUAUUAGCUAGUUGGUGAGGUAAAGGCUCACCAAGGCGAUGAUACAUAGCCGACCUGAGGGGGUGAUCGGCCACAUUGGGACUGGGACACGGCCCAAACUCCUACGGGAGGCAGCAGUAGGGAAUCUUCGGCAAUGGACGAAAGUCUGACCGAGCAACGCCGCGUGAGUGAAGAAGGUUUUCGGAUCGUAAAACUCUGUUGGUAGAGAAGAACGUUGGUGAGAGUGGAAAGCUCAUCAAGUGACGGUAACUACCCAGAAAGGGACGGCUAACUACGUG